UACGAAGGGGGCUAGCGUUGUUCGGAAUUACUGGGCGUAAAGCGUGCGCAGGCGGCUUCUCAAGUCAGGGGUGAAAGCCCAGAGCUCAACUCUGGAAUUGCCUUUGAGACUGAGUGGCUUGAGUACGGGAGAGGUGAGUGGAACUGCGAGUGUAGAGGUGAAAUUCGUAGAUAUUCGCAAGAACACCAGUGGCGAAGGCGGCUCACUGGCCCGAUACUGACGCUGAGGCACGAAAGCGUGGGGAGCAAACAGG
rnacentral:rRNA from 1 species